UACGUAGGGGGCUAGCGUUGUCCGGAAUCAUUGGGCGUAAAGAGCGCGCAGGCGGCUAGAUAAGUCCGGUGUGAAAGUCACAGGCUCAACCUGUGAAUGCCGCUGGAAACUGUCUGGCUAGAGUCCGGAAGGGGCGAGUGGAAUUCCUGGUGUAGCGGUGAAAUGCGCAGAUAUCAGGAAGAACACCAAUGGCGAAGGCAGCUCUCUGGGACGGUACUGACGCUGAGACGCGAAAGUGUGGGGAGCGAACAGG
rnacentral:rRNA from 1 species